GGGUUGUGAGGUUAAGCGACUAAGCGUACACGGUGGAUGCCCUGGCAGUCAGAGGCGAUGAAGGACGUGCUAAUCUGCGAUAAGCGUCGGUAAGGUGAUAUGAACCGUUAUAACCGGCGAUUUCCGAAUGGGGAAACCCAGUGUGUUUCGACACACUAUCAUUAACUGAAUCCAUAGGUUAAUGAGGCGAACCGGGGGAACUGAAACAUCUAAGUACCCCGAGGAAAAGAAAUCAACCGAGAUUCCCCCAGUAGCGGCGAGCGAACGGGGAGCAGCCCAGAGCCUGAAUCAGUGUGUGUGUUAGUGGAAGCGUCUGGAAAGGCGCGCGAUACAGGGUGACAGCCCCGUACACAAAAAUGCACAUGCUGUGAGCUCGAUGAGUAGGGCGGGACACGUGGUAUCCUGUCUGAAUAUGGGGGGACCAUCCUCCAAGGCUAAAUACUCCUGACUGACCGAUAGUGAACCAGUACCGUGAGGGAAAGGCGAAAAGAACCCCGGCGAGGGGAGUGAAAAAGAACCUGAAACCGUGUACGUACAAGCAGUGGGAGCCUCUUUUAUGGGGUGACUGCGUACCUUUUGUAUAAUGGGUCAGCGACUUAUAUUCUGUAGCAAGGUUAACCGAAUAGGGGAGCCGAAGGGAAACCGAGUCUUAACUGGGCGUUAAGUUGCAGGGUAUAGACCCGAAACCCGGUGAUCUAGCCAUGGGCAGGUUGAAGGUUGGGUAACACUAACUGGAGGACCGAACCGACUAAUGUUGAAAAAUUAGCGGAUGACUUGUGGCUGGGGGUGAAAGGCCAAUCAAACCGGGAGAUAGCUGGUUCUCCCCGAAAGCUAUUUAGGUAGCGCCUCGUGAAUUCAUCUCCGGGGGUAGAGCACUGUUUCGGCAAGGGGGUCAUCCCGACUUACCAACCCGAUGCAAACUGCGAAUACCGGAGAAUGUUAUCACGGGAGACACACGGCGGGUGCUAACGUCCGUCGUGAAGAGGGAAACAACCCAGACCGCCAGCUAAGGUCCCAAAGUCAUGGUUAAGUGGGAAACGAUGUGGGAAGGCCCAGACAGCCAGGAUGUUGGCUUAGAAGCAGCCAUCAUUUAAAGAAAGCGUAAUAGCUCACUGGUCGAGUCGGCCUGCGCGGAAGAUGUAACGGGGCUAAACCAUGCACCGAAGCUGCGGCAGCGACACUGUGUGUUGUUGGGUAGGGGAGCGUUCUGUAAGCCUGCGAAGGUGUGCUGUGAGGCAUGCUGGAGGUAUCAGAAGUGCGAAUGCUGACAUAAGUAACGAUAAAGCGGGUGAAAAGCCCGCUCGCCGGAAGACCAAGGGUUCCUGUCCAACGUUAAUCGGGGCAGGGUGAGUCGACCCCUAAGGCGAGGCCGAAAGGCGUAGUCGAUGGGAAACAGGUUAAUAUUCCUGUACUUGGUGUUACUGCGAAGGGGGGACGGAGAAGGCUAUGUUGGCCGGGCGACGGUUGUCCCGGUUUAAGCGUGUAGGCUGGUUUUCCAGGCAAAUCCGGAAAAUCAAGGCUGAGGCGUGAUGACGAGGCACUACGGUGCUGAAGCAACAAAUGCCCUGCUUCCAGGAAAAGCCUCUAAGCAUCAGGUAACAUCAAAUCGUACCCCAAACCGACACAGGUGGUCAGGUAGAGAAUACCAAGGCGCUUGAGAGAACUCGGGUGAAGGAACUAGGCAAAAUGGUGCCGUAACUUCGGGAGAAGGCACGCUGAUAUGUAGGUGAAGUCCCUCGCGGAUGGAGCUGAAAUCAGUCGAAGAUACCAGCUGGCUGCAACUGUUUAUUAAAAACACAGCACUGUGCAAACACGAAAGUGGACGUAUACGGUGUGACGCCUGCCCGGUGCCGGAAGGUUAAUUGAUGGGGUCAGCGCAAGCGAAGCUCUUGAUCGAAGCCCCGGUAAACGGCGGCCGUAACUAUAACGGUCCUAAGGUAGCGAAAUUCCUUGUCGGGUAAGUUCCGACCUGCACGAAUGGCGUAAUGAUGGCCAGGCUGUCUCCACCCGAGACUCAGUGAAAUUGAACUCGCUGUGAAGAUGCAGUGUACCCGCGGCAAGACGGAAAGACCCCGUGAACCUUUACUAUAGCUUGACACUGAACAUUGAGCCUUGAUGUGUAGGAUAGGUGGGAGGCUUUGAAGUGUGGACGCCAGUCUGCAUGGAGCCGACCUUGAAAUACCACCCUUUAAUGUUUGAUGUUCUAACGUGGACCCGUGAUCCGGGUUGCGGACAGUGUCUGGUGGGUAGUUUGACUGGGGCGGUCUCCUCCUAAAGAGUAACGGAGGAGCACGAAGGUUGGCUAAUCCUGGUCGGACAUCAGGAGGUUAGUGCAAUGGCAUAAGCCAGCUUGACUGCGAGCGUGACGGCGCGAGCAGGUGCGAAAGCAGGUCAUAGUGAUCCGGUGGUUCUGAAUGGAAGGGCCAUCGCUCAACGGAUAAAAGGUACUCCGGGGAUAACAGGCUGAUACCGCCCAAGAGUUCAUAUCGACGGCGGUGUUUGGCACCUCGAUGUCGGCUCAUCACAUCCUGGGGCUGAAGUAGGUCCCAAGGGUAUGGCUGUUCGCCAUUUAAAGUGGUACGCGAGCUGGGUUUAGAACGUCGUGAGACAGUUCGGUCCCUAUCUGCCGUGGGCGCUGGAGAACUGAGGGGGGCUGCUCCUAGUACGAGAGGACCGGAGUGGACGCAUCACUGGUGUUCGGGUUGUCAUGCCAAUGGCACUGCCCGGUAGCUAAAUGCGGAAGAGAUAAGUGCUGAAAGCAUCUAAGCACGAAACUUGCCCCGAGAUGAGUUCUCCCUGACUCCUUGAGAGUCCUGAAGGAACGUUGAAGACGACGACGUUGAUAGGCCGGGUGUGUAAGCGCAGCGAUGCGUUGAGCUAACCGGUACUAAUGAACCGUGAGGCUUAACCUUACAACGCCGAAG
rnacentral:rRNA from 1 species